UGAGGCAGGAGAAUUGCUUGAACCCAGGAAGUGGAGGUUGCAGUAAGCUGAGAUCGCACCACUGUACUCCAGCCUGGGUGACACAGCAAGACUCGGUCUC
ensembl:miRNA